rnacentral:rRNA from 1 species
CCUACGGGUGGCAGCAGUGAGGAAUAUUGGUCAAUGGACGCAAGUCUGAAGCAGCCAUGCCGCGUGCAGGAAGAAGGCUCUAUGAGUUGUAAACUGCAUUUGUACGGGAGUAAACGCAGAUACGCGUAUCUGUAUGAAAGGAUCGUACGGAUAAGGAACGGCUAACUCCGUGCAAGCAGCCGCGGUAAUACGGAGGAGUCAAGCGUUAUCCGGAUUUAUUGGGUUUAAAGGGUGCGUAGUCGGUCGGAGAAGUUAGAGGUGAAAUCCCGAGGCUCAACUUCGGAAUUGCCUCUGAUACUGAUCGGCUAGAGAGUAGUAGCGGUAGGCGGAAUGUAUGGUGUAGCGGUGAAAUGCUUAGAGAUCAUACAGAACACCGAUGGCGAAGGCAGCUUACCAAGCUACUUCUGACGUUGAGGCACGAAAGCGUGGGGAGCAAACAGGAUUAGAUACCCCGGUAGUC